GUAGAGAUGCCAGAAAAAUUUAAUGGGGUUAGUUUAGGAUUAAUUUAUGACUUUUAAAGUCUCUCUAUU
rnacentral:tRNA from 1 species